rnacentral:rRNA from 1 species
CGAACGAAGUAGCAAUACUUAGUGGCAGACGGGUGAGUAACAUGUAGGUAUCUGCCCUUUGGCCUGGAAUAACACGAGGAAACUUGUGCUAAUACCGGAUAAGUCUUUACGGAGAAAGCUUUAUGCACCAUUGGAUGAGCCUGCACUUGAUUAGUUUGUUGGUGGGGUAAUGGCCUACCAAGACUGUGAUCAAUAGCUGAUUUGAGAGGAUGAUCAGCCACAUUGGGACUGAGACACGGCCCAAACUCCUACGGGAGGCAGCAGUGGGGAAUCUUGCACAAUGGAGGAAACUCUGAUGCAGCGAUGCCGCGUGAGUGAAGAAGGCCCUUGGGUUGUAAAGCUCUUUCGUCGGGGAAGAAA